CUGCUAUCCAGUUGUUUACCAAGCCAAGCUAACAACAGGGAAAAAGUAAUGACAACUUUUUCAUGGAAGUUGUGUUUCUUUCACUAGAUGAGAAGACAGAGUACUGGCAGGUCAUCACAGCUGCUCUGGAGCAGAGAAUUUUAGCUUUGAGCCCAGCAAUCCUAAGUGUACCAGGAGAAGAAAACCUCUCUGUCCUUCCCAGAGGACUAUAUUUUCAGAUCUUUUUUCUGCAGUCCUUUUACAGAAACCUCAUCAAAGCCAUGGUCAGUGAGAGAAGAAGAUCCAAAGAUGAGAAGUUUCAGUUGCCUGAGGUCCCGCAAGUGGAAGCCUUUGUAGAGGAGAUGCCAUUUCCCUCCUCCUUGCCCUGCCUUUCAUAUAGAACCUUGGUAACCAGGGAAUAUUUUGAGUUUAGCUUAACUGUAAGCAAAUUCUGUGCUAUACUCCAGCAAGGCUAAGCUAAAAGUCUUGAUGAGGAAAUGCUGCUGGAAAACAUCUGUGCUUUGUUUUAUGCAACUGAGGAGUUAAAAAUAUUUUUAUAAAUACUAUAAUGUAUAAAAGCUGUGAACAACCAAAUGAAGUGUCAAACUUCCAAGUUGUAUAAAUGUAUUUGUCUCUCAUAUUAGUGAACGCUAUUUGAACAGAAAUGGCACAUUGUAACAGCCUAACAAGAAGCAGUCUUUCUGAUGACGUUUAAGACUUCUUUGCUCCACUGUAUGGAAAUAUUUAAGACCUAAAAGAUUUAUAUUACAAUAUAGCAUUUAAAAUGGUUCAGCCCUGUUCCCAGGAAAGUCAAAGAGACUUUUUACCAUCAACUUCAACGGAAACAGCAUAAGAACAAAGAUACAUUUUUAUUUGAUAUUUUUUUCCUAUUUUACUCUAAGAGACAGUCCUCCCCCCCACCCCCAAAAAGUUACUAAUUUCUUUAUCAAACAGAAGUCAUUGUCAUGUCCAGAAAAUAAUGUCAGUUGAGACCUCUCUCCAAAUAACAGUAAGUGGGAUGAAAAUAGCAGAUCUCUAUGCAACACUGGGCACGGUGAAACACUGUGUACUUCUACCUUCAUGUUGGAAAGCUUCAAUCAUCUUUUAGAAGCCUUUCCUACAAUAUCCAACAUACUGCCAUCCUUGUUCUGCGACAAAAAUUCAUCUUACGCUGCACUAACUUUGAAGACUAAACUCAACAUGAACUAAAAAGUGAUAACAUCUGAUCCUUUAAAGCACGAGUUAACGGCAUUUGAUCCAUUUUUUUAAUGAUAGAUGCCAAAUUAAAUGAGAUAAACUAUGAAAUAUGACCAUUAAUUUCUAAAAUAUUUUUUCUUCAAAAAUGUAAAUAAUAUAAGGAUAAACAUCAUUUCACUUCAACUUUUUUUCCACCUAACUCCAGUGUUUAAUUUUUUUAUUAGCUUUUAUUUUCUACUUUUUUUUUAAUAAAGUUUUUAUUGUGCAUUUUACAUUUCCAUUGAGCCUUGAUAUGUGAAUUGUUAAGCAAUUCACAAAUCCUUGAAAAAAAAGUAACAGGAAACAUGGAAAUGUCGUGUCCUAAUAUUUAGUUUCUUCUUCCUUCAUCUGAUACUUUUAAUUUGCCUUUCCUCUGUCUUACGCAUUCAUUCUGCUGCUAUUCCCUAAGUAUUUAUGUGGUAGCAGAAUUUUCUCUGUAGUGUCCUCCAUUGCAUUUUAGUGGUGUAUUUUCCCAUAAGUUUGACAGACAUCUCUUAACAUACCAACUACAUCAGGACAGCAGUUCUCAAAGUGAACAGCUAUCACUUCCAUAGACUGCUCAGCUGUCUAUCUUUCUAACUGCAUCUCCUUGAUGUAUCUGAAUGCAGGCAUUUAUCUCAAACUGCUGCUUUUCAGUCAUUUGUGUUGGCACAUCUAGAAACCAAAAUGAAGAAAAAUACAGGGACAGAAAAUAAUGGCAUUUCUCAGUUAGUUACAUAGUUUGAUGUAUUUAAAGAGAACUAAAGGAAAACUAAGCUUUCAAUGAAGACAGUGAGCUGGGAAGUUGGUGACUUUUUUUAGUUACUAGCUAUUAAGAAAUUAAUUUUCCCCCAGAUCUCAGAUGGUAAAAAUAAACCUUUAUUUCUCUUCCCAUUUUUAAGACAAGUUAUUUAGAAUUAUAAGCUCAGUUGGAAACUAUCUAUUGUGUGUAUGUACGGUGCCUAGAUGGGUUCUUGAUCUAGAUCAUUAUUGCUAAAUGGAGCAAAUAUAUAUUGGUCACAAAUGAAGAAAAGACACAGGUUUUCUAAAGGAUAUACUUAAAAAAAGAAGUUGUCAGAGCAUUUUUUAACAUGCAAGUGUACAUCAUAUACACAGGUCACCUGAUAUGGACCUUCAGGCCUGUGUGUUCUUUUCUCCUCAGUGUGUAAGUAGGGAGUACUUUCUGAAAUGCUUGCAUUGUGGUAUUUACAUGAGCAUACUUCAGAGAGUAGAUGGAAGGGUUACCGGAUAGCCAUUUAAAUUGCUUCCCAUGUAUUUCAAGCACUGAAUACUCUGCGAGUCAACUUCUCAUCUGAAUCCGGAUUAUGAUGUUUGGAAAUGGAUUUCUGAAAUAAAUAAAUAUGAUAAUGAUAAGGAUUUGCCCACCUGCUCUUUGUUAUCAUUUCUGCCCAGUAUUUAUACAUAAAUACAUACCAUAGACAUAUGCAUAAAACAAAUUACACUAAAAAAAAACCUUCUAGAUUGCAUCCCUGAUUUUUUUUUACGGUGAAUAAUCAACCCAAAUUGCCAUAAAAACUGUGUGAGCAGCAAUAUUUACAUAUGCAGAUAAACAGAAGGAAUGCUUUCACCAUAACUUAGUGUUUCUAAUCCACUGUUUCCAUAGUCUUCCAUAACCUCCUGAAAUAUGUGUAGUCUGGGCCAAAGUCACUCUCAUCCUACAAUCAUCCUACAAUCCCCACUGUUCGAGGCCUUCGGCCUUGCAGCUGUUCAGGAGCAGGCACAAGGCACAGCGCAGUGUCACCAACGUGCACGUGCUGUAUGAUGAGGCUGACAAGGACCCAACACCAGCGAUCAGAGCUGGUAAUUGAGGCAUGGAAACAACAUCACACACAUAUGCGAUGUACCCACCUCUGUUCCAGUUGCCACGGGAAACCUAGCUUUGAAUUUCCUUGUGUCUCAGCGUAAAAAAAGCUGGGAGCAUGCAGCAUCAAUACAGAGGGCCUGGCUUUGCACCCCUUGGGCACAAACCUAAAUAAUACAGGUGUCGGAGUGAAAUCUUUAUGAGUGUUUACUCCUUUGGUGUUGUGCUUCGUUGCUGCUCUGUUUGAAGAGCCCUAAGUGACCCUUUAAGCUUCAAUGCAGCCAGACAAACUUUUAUCCCAGACAAUUACGAGGGAAAACACGGUAAUGUCACGCAAACGUGAUCCAGUGACUUAAUUAGAACCAAGUUAGCUGAGACAGAGAGGAGCUGUAAAUCUCUUGAGGCUGAUGGGGGAUGUUGAGGGAGGGUGAAGCCCUUGCAGCACUGCGAGAGCACGCAUGGGGGGGGGAAGAAAGAGAAGAAAAAAAGAAAAAGAAAGAGAGAGAAGGAAGGGAAAAAACCCUUUCAGCCAGAACAGAAGAGCCGAAAGAGUUAACUCGCAGCCGCAGCUCUCGCAAGGCAGCCCUCGCCAGCGGCCUGGGAAGCAGCCCGGCGCCCUCUGGUGCAGGAGAGCAGCAGCAGUGGAAAUUUCCUCUGGGAAGCAGCUUUGUUUCGAAGUUCAGACGGAUUAAAACGACCCUAAAACGUGCCGGCGGGACGGGACCGACCUCGCUCUGCACCCGGACGGGGGAGCCCCGCCCGGAGGUAUCUUGUUCUGGGGGUGCUGCGGGGGCUUUCUUCUUUCUCAUUAUUUUAUUUUGAUUUUUUUUUUUUUUAUGUUUUUAAUUUAUUUUCCGCUUCGGUGCUGAGCCUCACGUUGAGGUGUGACGUCAAGAAAGGAGCACGGAAAAGCGGGCGGUAAAUGCCGAGCUUAGAGGCUCCUUCAGAGCCGAGAGCUCCGCAGUUUCCCACGGCAGGAGAACCUGAACGGGCGCCGGGCAGAAGCCCCUUCUUCCCUCAUGACUCCAGUACUAAAUGGGACGAUGCACAAAAAGGCAGCCUUGGUUGCAGGCAGCAGUACGUUGCCACUGAAGAAAUCUGCACAGCUGUAGGAAAGACCCUUAUUUUAGCGCCAGGAGAGCAGGAGAACCGUGUGCCAUCAAGCUGAAGGUGCCGAUUUCGCACAUUUGUAGUGUAAACCGGAGCAGAAAAAAAAAAAAGCAAGUAAUUGUAGCUGAGAUUAGGAAGCAGCACACGCACAAACGCCUACCUACGAACUGCCGAAACGGGAGAGCAAACUGCAGGGUUAUCGUUUUAGGUACCAGCUCGGGAAAUGCAUUACGUUCAUUAUUAUUAUUAUUAAUUAUAAUAUUAAUUAAUAAUAAUAAUAAUAAUAAAAAGAAAAAGAAAAAGAAAGAAAAGGAUGAAAAGAGAGAAAAGGGAGGGGGAAAGGAAAAGGAAAAAUAAAAAAGCAGUGAUGUCAGUAGAGUGGAGUGCAUCGAAGUAGCUCCGCAGCUCCUCUCUCGCAGCCGUCUCCCGCCCCUUCCCAGCACCUCCAAAAGCGGCCGGUCGUGCAGCAGGCAGAAGCGCCGGGCGGUGGCGGCCCCGGGUCGCUGCGGUGCUGCCCGGGGGGCUUCAGGUCGCCCUGCUCGUACGCGUCCCGCCCGGCAUUCUCCCGCGGAGACAGCGGGCGGCGGGUUGCAAUCUCACCUAAGGACAAAGUUGGCUGAAAGAAAGAGAGAAAGAGAGAAAAGAGAGAAAGAAAGAGAGAAAGAAAGAGAGAAAGAGAGAAAGAGAGAAAGAGAGAAAGAGAGAAAGAGAGAAAGAGAGAAAGAAAGAAAGAAAGAAAGAAAGAAAGAAAGAAAGAAAGAAAGAAAGAAAGAAAGAAAGAAAGAAAGAAAGAAAGAAAGAAAGAAAGAAAGAAAGAAAGAGAAAAUAGAGUGUGUGUGAGUGUGUGCGUUAUUUCUAAAUAGGUGCUUUCACCUCUCUUCUGAUUACUUGAGAAACUUUGGAAAAUGAGCGGCAUAUCCCCGACGUCCGCUCUGCUUUUGCUCACCGGCUGAAAUGCUGAGACUUCUUCCAGAGACACAUUACGCAGGGAAAGAAAAACAGAAUACCACAUACGGACACGAUUUCUCUCAUACGAGCCAGCAGAAUGCUGCUAUCACCGCGCGGGCGGCACCGCACACCUGGCCCGCUGCACAGAGACACUGCUCUGCUAUUCCGGGGUCCCCAGCGGGCUGCCUAGAGAAUGGGAAUCGGAGAAAGGGGAUCGGUUACAUAAUGAAAUGAAAUGAAAUGAAAUGAAAUGAAAUGAAAUGAAAUGAAAUGAAAUGAAAUGAAAUGAAAUGAAAUGCAAAAAUAAAAUAAAAUGAAAGUACCCACUCUUCAGCCAGCCAAAGCACACCGUCGCUGAGUACAUGUAGAAAGGGUCGCAUGCAGGCGGGCUUGUCCUAUUAAUGGGACACAGGAAGAGACAGAAGAGCGAACGCGUGUCCUGGAGAUAACGUGGGAUGUUAUUUGGGCAAUAGAUUAAGAGCUGGAGAUCAGCAGCAAAUGUGCUGGUACUUCGCGUUAGUGUUUCCUAAAGCAGCGUCCCCGCUUUGCUGAGCGCCCUUUCUUGAGGGAGGGAAGCGGAGUAUUGGGAGGCGGCUGAAAAAAUGCGGGGAAAGAAAUAGAGAUGACAGCUCCCGCCGGGAAGCAAAUCAAAGUUAUAGACUGGAAACGUGCGGCUAUCACGGGCUGCUCUUCAGCGAGCGGUUGGAAAUCAUAAACAUAUAAAUACAGAACUAAUUACGAGACCACACCGGAGUUUAUCCAAAAAUGUCUGGGAAGUAACAGAGCCAGCUCUUGAGGGACACGGUUUAGCGAGAACCAUUGGUGAAGGGCGAAUGGUUGGACUGGAUGAUGCUGUGGGUCUUUUCCAACCUUAGCGAUUCUACGAUUCUGUGAUUCUAUGAAAGUGUCGCUGCCUCUCGGGGAAGCCCGUCGGUGCCGGAGGAUUGGCAGCCGAACGCCAAAUAGGGGGGAGAGGGAGAGGGAGGGGGAGCCGAUCUCCCCACGCUGCGAAGCGCAGCGCGACGCGUCCGUAACAAUCCCAAUCCGUUGCGAUUUGUGUCGUUCAGGGAUACGAAGUGUCGGUCGUCACCGCAGUUGUUGAAACCCGGCCAGCGGUACGCGAUCGGGGUGUGCGCAUUGCUCCAAGUAUGACCUCAAGAGUUGGAGAAGGAAGCACUGAUUUCCAGAAGAAAAAACACUGCACAAGAUGACGGGCGCAUAAAGUGACCAAACUCGUGCAGGCAUAUACGGGAACAGGACGCGGCCCUGGGGGAACGACUGCUGGGUGCCUCCACAAAGAGCCGCUUUCCUUUCCCUCUCUCCGCUCAGCCCUAAUCGCACAGAGCGGGGCGGUACCUCAGCCGCAGGGACGAGACCUGCACCCUCCCGACCUCUCCGCCAACCUCCGGGGCUGCGCUUCUCGCGGGGAGCUCGGCUACCGCCGUGGGCAGCGGGACGGUGGGUCCGCUCAUCCAGGGGAGGGGAAAGAGGCUCCAAGGGAAUUAGCACCCCGAAAUAUUCCGCUUUCACUCAUGCCGCAGAUAAAUUGUUUUAUCAACGACCCAUUAGCUGCGUUAAUGACCCGCGAUAUUUAAUCACCAGCGCGCCGUGAAAAUUAUUAUUUAUUUGAAACUCCAUUGCGAUUUCCAGCCACCCUCUACUUACCGAGGGUAUAACGUGCACUGUUACAAGGAGAGCGGGAGGGCACUGGAACAGAGGCAGCCAACACAGCGCAGAGCAGCGCUACGCUGGGCUGCCAGCCCCGCUCCCGCACAGCGCUCCCCCACUGCUCGCGCGGUGCGAGACGCGGCCCGGCGGGAGGGCAGGCAGCCUUCCAGCAGGGGCCUAACCAGGGGCUUAGCAGCCUAACCUUAAAGACCGGCGUUAACCAACGAGAAGCUCUCUCCGACUUCGCUGCGUUUCUCAGCUCCCUGCCCCACGCUCCAGAGAUGACAUAAACAGAUGCGAACCCUGGAGGUGCGGGGCGUGAAAGUUAAAGCGCAAGAGCAAAGCUACGCUGCCAGAAACGCAAGGCGACGGUAGGCGCUGUUUGCGCGGCGGUGGCUGCGCUUUGCGGCGCGCUGAGAGCGCCCGUUCGUUCCCCGCGAGCGGUGCAGAUGCGGUAUUGCAGUGAGCCCCGAUCACCGCGGCCGGGGCAUCUGCAGAGCAGUCCCUGAGAAGAGCCGCCGGCGGGACGAGAGCCCUUAUAGCGCCGUCCGACUGCCCCAAGUGCUUUUACUCCGGGUCUGGCCCUUUGCAACAGCUCGGAGUCGCGCUCCGAGGCGGGCACAAAUAAAACCUCGGUCCCCGACGGUUUAACCGCGAUGUACCCGGAAUGAGGCCCCGAGCCCUCGGACGCGGCCAAGAGCUGAGGGGGUGGCAGCAGCGAUGAUCACGGCCCGGGCACGGCCUCUGCCCAUGGGCCAGGCCCCGCCUCGCUCCCUGCGCUGAGCCGGCAGCGUGCGUGGUUCGGGGAGUCACGGCACACCUAUGGGGAAAGCGCUGCUGUGAAGGCAAGAAAGCAAAGUAAAAAUAUAUAUAUUAAAAAAAAAGCAAAAGGGAAGCACGGGACGGGAGGUCACCGACACAGCGCUCCCUGCUCCAAAUCCCUGCGUGAAACGUUGCUCCGAUUCCCCCCACGCUGCUCCCCUCACGAGAGGUUGGAGCAUUCUGUACUCCUGCAGUGCUGCUGUCUGUUCUGCGUAAGGCAGCAACCGCAGCUCCUGAAACACUUGAGAGUUGAACAGGAGGAGAACGCCAAAGACUGAGAUAUUCGGAGACCGAUGUUUAUUUUAUACAAACUGUAUCUUUAAAUGGAUCAGGGACAAAUAAGACCCGAGGUAACACAAAAUCCGUAAGACAAGCGGAUCUUCUAUCCAGGCAUUGCCGUUAUGCCUGGUUCAUACAGCGCUCGGUAAUACGGAUUAACUACAACGAUCGAUAGGUGAAAUCUGAGCAGCGCUAUCCACUGCAGCGAUACAGUGUGACCCUACCAUUCCGACUGUGCCUCCGGGCUGUUUUCCCAUGGUGUGCUCCUCAGCCACCACCUCCACACACGACGGGCUGCCGUAGGCUGCCAGGAUUGAAACACAUCAUAUAACCCAGGGGAAAAAAAAAAAAAAAGGUUUUAGUCCCAGUGCUGCCCUACCUAUUCAGGAUGGCCAAACACAUCUCCUCGACCAUGAAGAUCAGUGAAAACUGUGAUGUGGGAGCAACACGUGUGGUUUGAAACAGCGCAACUUCAGCUGCCUUGCCUUUAAAACAUGCUUUUGUGGUGUACGUGCUCCUGAACGUGAUGCGUUGUACUGCACAGAGCAGACAGCAGCCUUCCGCCUCCUUAUAUUCUGCUAAUUUCUUAGAACUCACGAAGUACCAAAUGGAAAGAGAGAAACAGACAAAGACACUCCGUGCAAGGAGGAAGAAGAAGAAAAACCUCGCCGUUUUUAAACUGUUACGCCACAGGCCCCAGAUCUUUGGGUUAAACGAAGGAAAAUAAAAGAAAGCAGAGGGCACGCUGACAUCACGCAGC
ensembl:lncRNA